rnacentral:rRNA from 1 species
CCUACGGGGGGCAGCAGUGGGGAAUAUUGCACAAUGGGGGAAACCCUGAUGCAGCGACGCCGCGUGAGUGAAGAAGUAAUUCGUUACGUAAAGCUCUAUCAGCAGGGAAGAAACACUGACCUUACGGUCAGCAGACGGUACCUGAGUAAGAAGCCCCGGCUGACUACGUGCCAGCAGCCGCGGUAAUACGUAGGGGGCAAGCGUUAUCCGGAUUUACUGGGUGUAAAGGGGGCGGAGACGGUGCGCCAAGUGUGGGGUGAAAUGCCGCAGCUUAACUGCGGAACUGCUUUGGAAAAUGGCGAACUAGAGUGCGGGAGGGGUAAGCGGAAUGCGUGGUGUAGCGGUGAAAUGCGUAGAUAUUAGGCGGAACACCGGUGGCGAAGGCGGCUUACUGGACCGUAACUGACGUUGAGGCUCGAAAGCGUGGGGAGCGAACAGGAUUAGAUACCCGAGUAGUC